rnacentral:rRNA from 1 species
AUUGAACGCUGGCGGCAGGCUUAACACAUGCAAGUCGAGCGGAGAUGAGGUGCUUGCACCUUAUCUUAGCGGCGGACGGGUGAGUAAUGCUUAGGAAUCUGCCUAUUAGUGGGGGACAACAUUCCGAAAGGAAUGCUAAUACCGCAUACGUCCUACGGGAGAAAGCAGGGGAUCUUCGGACCUUGCGCUAAUAGAUGAGCCUAAGUCGGAUUAGCUAGUUGGUGGGGUAAGGGCCUACCAAGGCGACGAUCUGUAGCGGGUCUGGGAGGAUGGUCCGCCACACUGGGACUGAGACACGGCCCAGACUCCUACGGGAGGCAGCAGUGGGGAAUAUUGGACAAUGGGGGGAACCCUGAUCCAGCCAUGCCGCGUGUGUGAAGAAGGCCUUAUGGUUGUAAAGCACUUUAAGCGAGGAGGAGGCUACUGAGACUAAUACUCUUGGAUAGUGGACGUUACUCGCAGAAUAAGCACCGGCUAACUCUGUGCCAGCAGCCGCCGUAAGAC